rnacentral:rRNA from 1 species
GACGAACGCUGGCGGCGUGCUUAACACAUGCAAGUCGAACGGAGUGGCGAACGGGUGAGUAAAACGUGGGUGAUCUGCCUUGCACUUCGGGAUAAGCUUGGGAAACUGGGUCUAAUACCGGAUAGUGCAAGAUGAGCUCGCGGCAUAUCGGCUUGUUGGUGGGGUAAUGGCCGAACAAGGCGUCGACGGGUAGCCGGCCUGAGAGGGUGUACGGCCACAUUCGGACUCGGGUACCGCCCAGACUCCUACGGGAGGCAGCAGUGGAGAAUAUUGCACACUUGGCGGAAGCAUGGUGCAGCGACGCCGCGUGGGGGAUGAAGGCCUUCAGGUUGUAAACUCCUUUCGACAGGGACGCGGUACCUGUAUAAGAAGCACCGGCUAACUACGUGCCAGCAGCCGCGGUAAUAC